UUUUAGUUACCCGCUCAUUGCUCCCUCUUCUUCUCAUCUCCGUGCGCCCUAAAUCCCCCAAAUAAAAGAUUGUACUUAAUUCUUUUUACCUUUUUAUCUCAAAAUUUGCCCCCAACUUUCCCAUUUCCAGCAACACCAAGUCAAUACACCUACGCCAAUCACACUUCUUUUUCCUUUUCAUUUCACUGCACUGAAUUCACUCACCAUCGCUACUCCUUUUCUCUCGAUCUGUUAGGGUUUCUUUUAAUAGGCUUUCAAGGGAACGUACAGUUUCCUUUUAAUUUUACUGGUGAUUUCUAUGGCGACGGAAGCCCUAGAUGGCAAGAAACCGGAGGAAGAGGAGGUGAAAGAGAAGACUGAAACUUCCCAUUGAAUAAGAAAUCAGUAGAAGGAAAAAGAAAUCAGAUCCUUCUGAAUAAGAAGAAGAAAAAUCAGUACUUUUUUUCCAUUGAAGAACAAGAAGUGAAAGAGGAUAUCAAGGGAAAAUGUCAAGAGAAAAACUAAGAAGAGCCGCACUUCCUCCUGUUCAAUAGAAAAAAAAAAACAAAUUAAAUGACAAGCCUAUAGCUGUAUGCCAUUCAGACAAUCCAAAACGAACUGCUGAAAUCUCUUCUGCAAAUUAUCCUGCUCGAGAGUAUGGUUGGUUUUUAUCUAAGUUAUAUUUCUACAUUUUCUGUAAUUGUUCUAGGUGAUAGUGGGUAUGUUUUAUUUUAUUUUAUUUUAUUUUAUUUUUGCAGUCUUGAUUUGUUUGCAAACCAGAAUAUAUUUUGUAGUUUUAUUUUAAUGCAAGAGUAGAAAAAUGCAGUUUUCUAUUCAGUUUGCUGAGAAAGACCGUGGUCCUGCGCUUGCUGAAAGUUCUAUUCCAGAUUCACAUGGUGAUUCUGAUUUGCAGAAUGUCAUCAAUUACCUCCGACGGACAAAACAAAUACUGUAAAAAAACUGGGAAAGGAAAGAGACCUGGAAAGGGAGGGAAUCGCUUCUGGAAAAGCAUUGGGUUAGGCUUUAAGACACCCAGAGAGGCCAUUAAAGGAACAUAUAUUGAUAAUUAAGAAAAGCCCAUUUACUGGCACUGUUUCUAUUAGAGGCCGUAUCCUUACCGGUACUUACCAUAGUGCAAAAAUGGUAAGGACCAUUAUCGUCUGAAGGAACUACCUUCACUGCAUCAAGAAAUACCAAAG